CUCAUUUAACAACUCAUAUAACCCAUACUCAUUUAUCUAGAAUAUUAUCAGUAGCUAAAUAUCAUACAAAAUCACUAAUAAUAAUCCAGUUGACGUCUCACGGUGCAGGCGGUGGUAACCCAAAGAUAAGGAACCAUCACCGAAUCAUAGCUCGAGUGAUGUCCCUGGAGAACCUGCUAGGUAUUGGAGAACCUGGCAUCCUACGCACCCAUGUAGCGAUAGACGUGCUCAUCCUACUCCCUGACACGAUGACGUACCACCU
rnacentral:lncRNA from 1 species